rnacentral:misc_RNA from 1 species
AUUCUUUUGUAUAUGGGUGAUAUACAAAGAAGACAUUAAUAUGAAGACAUGUGAGACGGUUAACUUUGAAAUAAGUGGAGAUGUGCAUCUUGGUUCAGUUAGUCUUUCAUAUGGCUGUAGCACAAUUGAUUUCACAAACUUUGCAACACAAGGUAUUGCAGAUAUACCAAUCACAAUUUUUCACCCAUCAUUUUAUAAUAAAGAUUUGUUGUCUUUGUCUAGAGGUUGGCUCUUUACUUAUGCUAAAUGCAUUUGUAGCCAUGAAAAUCAGUUUACCACUGUUGGUUUGGCAGUUCCUAAUAACAAAACUUCACCGACCAAUAAUUUUAUCGAACGAGAAAGGCAAAGGCAUAGAGAAAGACGUGCAAAAAUGUCAGUAGACCAAAGGAACAAGUUGAAUAAGAAGCGUCGUGAGGCGCGACAACAAAACAAGGGACAACAUAUGAUGUCCACUGUGUAAGGAGGUGAUGAAACACGUCAAAUUUAAAUUAAUGUUUCUGUGCAUAAACCUACACUUAGAAAGUAAUGUGAUCAUUGUUUUUUAGAUGGAGACGAAAAAGUAAAUGUGAAUAAGAUGAUGAUAGAGAUUGGUUGCAUUGGAAUGAGACAUUCAAGGCAGACGAUGUUUUCACAACGAGAGACCUUCUGACACCAGGUACAUGACUGUUCACUCAACUAAAUUUGCAAAACAGCUGAUUUCAGGCGGUUUAACGUAUACAUGCCCUAUUCCAGGCGUUGUGCUUGAAACUGUU